rnacentral:rRNA from 1 species
UGUUAUCCCUAUAAUCGAUAUGGUCGUACACAGUGUAGAUAUGCGUAUCCGCUCCACCGACUUCAGUUCGGAAUCGACCCUUACCAAGGACACGGUGCCCGUGAAUGUCGAUGCGAUAUGCUUCUGGAUGGU